AACGAACGCUGGCGGCAUGCCUAACACAUGCAAGUCGAACGAGAUCUUCGGGUCUAGUGGCGCACGGGUGCGUAACGCGUGGGAAUCUGCCCUUUGGUUCGGAAUAACAGUUGGAAACGACUGCUAAUACCGGAUGAUGACGAAAGUCCAAAGAUUUAUCGCCAGAGGAUGAGCCCGCGUAGGAUUAGGUAGUUGGUGUGGUAAAGGCGCACCAAGGCGACGAUCCUUGGCUGGUCUGAGAGGAUGAUCAGCCACACUGGGCCUGAGACACGGCCCAGACUCCUACGGGAGGCAGCAGUGGGGAAUAUUGGACAAUUGACGAAAGCCUGAUCCAGCAAUGCCGGGUGAGUGAUGAAGGCCUUAGGGUUGUAAAGCUCUUUUACCCGGGAUGGUAAUGACAGUACCGGGAGAAUAAGCUCCGGCUAACUCCGUGCCAGCAGCCGCCGUAA
rnacentral:rRNA from 1 species